rnacentral:misc_RNA from 1 species
GAUUACAAAAGGUUUUAAAAAUUAUGUCAAGUAUAUAUAAUAUAUAGGGAUGAAUUCAACAGUUGUAUAUCAAUAUCAAAUUUAUGACGUCAACUAUUAGAUUGUAAUGUUCUUUUCUCGUCUGUUUAUUGGACGCAUCACAACGCUAGUACUCCUGAUCAAACCUCCUAAACAUUUCUUUUAUUAGAGCGUUAAUUUUCUCAUAUGGUUUACGAGGAAGGGAAGAUAAAUUUUGUAGGCUUACGGAUACAGGUGGAAUUUUGUAAAUAGAUUAAAUUACGAUAGUUGAAAAGAGAAGAAAAACAUGGUUGGAAUAUUUGGAAGACAAUUAUUUUUUGGAAUUGCGGGAAGUGGUGUGUCUGCAGGGUUUCUUUGGGGGAUUUUUGAAGAGAAACAGCAAGCCAAUACAUUGUUAAAAAAUAAUCCAGAUUUAUUUGUUAAGUGGGAUUUCAACUGGGACAGGAGGGAUCCACAUAGUUUGGUGAAACCACCAAAGAAUGGGGACCCUUUGGAACAAAACAGGUAUAAUGACCAGCUAGUAAAAGCUACACCUAAAGCAUCAAGACAUCUGAUAUUGAUACGACAUGGGCAGUAUGUUAUGGCCAGUGAAGAUUAUGAAAGGAAGCUCACAGAGUUAGGCAAAGAACAGGCAGACAUAGUAGGGAAACGGAUCAAAAAUCUAGGUUUCCCAUUUACCCGGAUUAUCCAGUCUUCCAUGCUGAGAGCAUUAGAGACAUCGGAACUGAUUCAGAAACAUGUACAAGGAGUGAGAGUAGAAACAUGUGACUUUAUACGUGAAGGAGCUCCGAUCCCUCCAGAACCUCCAGUUGGCCACUGGAGACCUGAAGCUCAGCAGUUUUAUCAAGAUGGUGCAAGGAUUGAAGCAGCUUUCAGAAAGUAUUUCCACAGGGCAUCACCUGAUCAAGAGAAAGACAGCUAUGACGUAUUAGUAUGUCAUGCAAAUGUAAUUCGCUAUUUUGUGUGCAGGGCGUUACAGCUUCCUCCUGAAGCAUGGUUAAGGUUUUCACUUCACAAUUGUAGCAUCUCUUGGAUAGUUAUUCAACCAAGUGGACGAGUUGUUGCCUACACAGUUGGAGAUAUUGGUCACAUGCCAACUGACAAAAUGUCGACAUCUUGACUUUUUUGAAUAUUUAUAGAAUCCCAACAUGAAGUCAAAACCAGUUUCAAGAAAAUAGAAAUAUAUUUUAAUAAUUGUAAUUUUGUUUGUACUACAACUCAAUUUUUACUCGAAUACAGUCGAAGCUAAACUUUCAUCAUUGACAAGUUAUUAUUAAAUAGUAAUCAAAUAUAUCAAGCUGUAUAAAUCAAAAUAAAGACAUCAGUUUCAUUAAAGAAGAA